AUAAAUGCUGGCUUUAACACUCAAGACUCUUGGUUGCAAGUGACAGAAACCCUACUUAAACUUGUUUAAGCAAAAUAGGGGAUUUAGUGGAUCAGACAAUUAAGAAGUCUCAGGAUGUGAUGGUUUUGAGCUUGACUGUAUCUAUGGGCUCAGAUGUCAUCCAGACCCUUGCUGUGUCUCUAACCUUCACUUUCUUUCUGUAUUGGCCUCAUUUUUGAGUAGGCUCUCCAUACGUGGUGGCAAACAUGGCUUGUCCUGUGUCACAGCUAGUUCUCUAACCCCCCAAGAGAUGCUGCUUUUCUGCUACUUGGAAGAGUAUUGUGGCUGUAAAGCGCCUGAACUUUGAGAUGGAGCUCAGAAGUUAAGCUUGUCUGCCUAUCUGUCCACCUCGCUUUCCAUCCUUCUGAAAAAAAAAAAGCACAAAGGGGGAAAUUCUUAACUUUCUAAAGAAAACACUAAUGAAAAUAUGAGUCUGAAUGAUAAUCAGAUUGAGAGCCAAUUUCAGAAAAAUCUGUUAACGUUCCUUAAAAGAGAGGCAGAGAGGAGAUGCUGUUGUGUUUCGACUGCGUCUUUUGGGGUAAAUGUGCUGUGAUGACUUGUACCCCAGGGAAGUCGUGAUUCCCGUUGGGUGAGACGUGCGUGUGCACUGACCAUCGUGCCCUGAGCCGCCAGUGCCACUCUGGUGCCUGCCAGGCCCGCGCCAGCCAGCGAGUGUGGUAUUUGGUCCACGCAGUGUUCUAAGAAAGUCUGAAUUGGUUACAGACAUUUAAAACUUGGGACCUUCCAUAAGAAAACUGUGUUUCUGGCUUCUCUGGAAAAAACGAGAAGACCAGGCAUCUGCAGGCAUGUGUCCACAUGGCGAGCAUGGGCCGCAACUGAGCAUGGCCCCCGGGCCUGAGACUGCCACUCUGCUGACCGUCUGUGACGGGUUGGGUCACUUCAGGUCUCCCGCUGGCCCCUGUAGUUAUCUGAUUUGUGACCCUUGAUGCUAGCAUCUUCCCUGAAGGAAGGAGGCUGCAGGACAAGCUGUUGAAGACUUGAAGAGCUAAGCUGCCACAGCCGGCGAGGAGCCAGGCGAGACCUGGCCCCUGGGAGCUGUGCCCAGUCUGAGCCUCGGGGCCACACCUACACUUUGUAAACUUGACUUUUCCGUGCUGUUUUUCCAUGUUUACUCAUGUGAUCAAAGUCCUUUGGGAAACAGCAGCCUUUUCAAGGUGGGCUGAGGUGGACACCAACAGAGUGGGGAGGCGGAGGGCGGGCAAGGGUCCCAGGCGGCAGCUGGCCUGGCCUCGAGGGGCUCAGGGAUGAGCCAGCAGCGCCACCUGGCCUCCUCAGUCUUUCUUUCCCCCCAGGAAAGACAAGGGUCCUCUUUGUUUGUUUAUUUAUGGGGCAGUUUUGCUUUAUUCACAUUUAGAGAGAAAAUUUUGUUGGCUGAGGCAUGGGGCCGAGAAAGGAAUACAAAUAAGAAACCGCGGAGAAGGAAAGGAAAACUCAGAAGACAGGAGAUAAGAAGUCCCUUUCUUCUUACUCUUUGCAGAAUUUUGAGGGUUUUUUGUUUUGCUUUGCUUUUUAAUGGAGCUAAAAGCACAUAAAAACCUUACAGAAGGGAAGGGAUUCACAAUAUGGUGUGGGAGCUCACAUGUUACAUGUUCUGAGUGUACUCAGUUCCUCUCUGCUCAGGAGGAAGCUUGAGCCACUCCACAGGCCAGUCAGGUGGGGCGCUGGGUAGACAUUUAGUGGGGGCUCUCACGCCAUGAUUCCCUGACUGAACCAAUUAAGAGCAUCCCAACGUGACAACCAGGAGCCACAGGCAGACGUCACCACCAGGCACUGACAGGGUCCCUUGCCCUGCCCUCCUGGGAAGUUCCACUUGGUGGCCUGGGUGGGCUGGGCUCUGACAGACACACAGGUCUGCAGCGAGGGCCAGGCGCGGCCCUGAGGUCCUGCAGGAACCAGGAAGGGCCCAGCACUCUCAAUGUCCUCACUGUCCUGAUCUUUCCUAGAUCCCUGUCACAUCUCCUAGGUCUUCCAGAUGCUUUCUUGGAAGUCCCUUCUAACCUGCUCUGUUUUCUUUCUGUCUCAUUCCUCAAAAUUUCCUCAGCUUGCAUUCUUGUCAUGGGGAAAGAACUUCAGAAAUGUUGCCAAACCUGGGGUGCCUGUUCUCCUCAGCAAGAGCCCUGGGGUUGGAGCUAAGAAGGGCCUGACUCCUCAGAGUGAGUCAGCCAGGAUCGGGAGUCCCUGGAGUGAGAACAGGACUGCUGGCUGUCAGGUGCCCUUCAGAGAGGGGACUCUGAUGGGAGACAUUGACCUUCGAACAAGAACAAAGCCCCACGCUGCAUCUCUGUGUAGAACCAGAGGUAAAAAGGGAAGAAUAGUAAGAAAAUUUAAGAUCCUUGUUUGUAAUGAAAGACAAUGAAUGACCACAACUGCCUUCUGUGGGUGGUGGGACGGGGGUCACCUCCAUGGAGGACUGUGGGGCUUGCCGAGUGACACAGGUGGAAAUGGGCAGGCUGAAUGGCACUGCAGCUGGGUGGGCAGAGAAGACUCUGGAGCCUGCCAGGCUGGACCCUGUGUCGGGGAAGCCAGAGGCAGCGCCGUCCUUCCCAAGAGCCGCGUGGAUGAGAACGGACUUUGAAUGAAGGGAAUGGCCAAUAUGGACACUUAGCUUUCCUGCCAGGAUUGGGGGAGGCACACCAACUCCACGUUCCCGGGAAUAAUUUGUAAAGUUCACGUUGCUGACCAAUGCUUUUGUGCAAGUUGGUCCUUUUGGGGAAACAUGAAGAGAAUGUUAAUUUCAUGAC